GUUUCCUACGGGAGGCAGCAGUGGGGAAGAUUGCGCAAUGGGAGAAAGCCUGACGCAGCGACGCCGCGUGAGGGAUGAAGGUCUUCGGAUCGUAAACCUCUGUCAGCAGGGAAGAACGGUCACUGUGCUAAUCAGCAGUGAAUUGACGGUACCGGCAAAGGAAGCAACGGAUAACUCCGUGCCAGCAGCAGCGGUAAUACGGAGGGUGCGAGCGUUAAUAGGAAUUACUGGGCGUAAAGCGCUCGUAGGAGGUAUGUCAAGUCAAGGGUGAAAUCACCGCGCUCAACGUGAGAACUGCCUUUGAA
rnacentral:rRNA from 1 species